rfam:Folsomia candida strain VT population Fcan01_Sc020, whole genome shotgun sequence.
GCGAUAAUGGUGUAAUGGUUAGCAUGGCUGUUUUCCACACAGCCGAUCGGAGUUCGAUUCUCCGUUAUCGCA